rnacentral:rRNA from 1 species
GACGAACGCUGGCGGCGUGCUUAACACAUGCAAGUCGAGCGAUGAAGUUCCUUCGGGAAUGGAUUAGCGGCGGACGGGUGAGUAACACGUGGGUAACCUGCCUCAUAGAGGGGAAUAGCCUUCCGAAAGGAAGAUUAAUACCGCAUAAGAUUGUAGUAUCGCAUGAUACAGCAAUUAAAGGAGUAAUUCGCUAUGAGAUGGACCCGCGUCGCAUUAGCUAGUUGGUGAGGUAACGGCCAACCAAGGCGACGAUGCGUAGCCGACCUGCAAGGGUGAUCGGCCACAUUGGGACUGAGACACGGCCCAGACUCCUACGGGAGGCAGCAGUGGGGAAUAUUGCACAAUGGGGGAAACCCUGAUGCAGCAACGCCGCGUGAGUGAUGACGGUCUUCGGAUUGUAAAGCUCUGUCUUCAGGGACGGUAAUGACGGUACCUGAGGAGGAAGCCACGGCUAACUACGUGCCAGCAGCCGCGGUAA